rnacentral:SRP_RNA from 1 species
GUCCUUGAAAAAGCGGUGGCGCGUGCUUCUCCGGAGGCUGAGGCAGGAGGACUGCUGGAACCCAGGAGUUCUGGGCUGUAGUGCCAUGCUGACUGGGUGUCCACACUGAGUUCAGCCCCAACAUGGUGACCUCCUGGGUGCGGGGGACCACCAAGUUGCCUAAGGAGGGGUGAACCGGUCUAGGUCGGAAAUGGAGCAGGUCAAACUCUCGUGGUGAUGAAAAUGGACAGUUGCAGACACAGGGAGGACUUGGUAGUCCCAGCUCCAGGCUGGAUCUGGGCAUGCCUUGCCUCU